UACAGAGGGUGCAAGCGUUGUUCGGAAUUAUUGGGCGUAAAGGGCAGGUAGGUGGUCCCAAAAGUCUACUAUGAAUCCCAGGGCUUAACCCUGGAACUGCGGUGGAAACUUUGGGACUUGAGUGCUGGAGGGGUGCGUGGAAUUCCCGGUGUAGCGGUGAAAUGCGUAGAUAUCAGGAGGAACACCGGUGGCGAAGGCGGGUCUCUGGGCAACACUGCGUGAGGAGCGAAAGCGUGGGGAGCGAACAGG
rnacentral:rRNA from 1 species